GAUGAACGCUAGCGGAGGCUUAACACAUGCAAGUCGAGGGGUAAAUGGUAGCAAUACUAUGAGACCGGCGGACGGGUGCGUAACGCGUAUGCAACAUACCUUGUGCAGGGGGAUAGCCCGUGGAAACGCGGAUUAAUAUUCUAUAGUCCAGCUAUAUCGCAUGGUAUAGUUGGUAAAGAUUUAUCGGCACAAGUUUGGCAUGCGUCUGAUUAGCUUGUUGGUAGGGUAACGGCCUACCAAGGCUACGAUCAGUAGGGGUUCUGAGAGGAUUAACCCCCACACUGGUACUGAGACACGGACCAGACUCCUACGGGAGGCAGCAGUGAGGAAUAUUGGUCAAUGGGCGGAAGCCUGAACCAGCCAUCCCGCGUGAAGGAAGACAGCCUUACGGGUUGUAAACUUCUUUUCUGUCAGAAGAAUAAGCUUGUCGAGACGAGUGAUGCCGGUAUGACAGGAAUAAGCAUCGGCUAACUCCGUG
rnacentral:rRNA from 1 species